GGCGCUUUGGUCUAGUGGUAUGAUACCUGCUUCGGGUGUAGGUGGCCCCCAGUUCAACCCUGGGAAGCGCCC
rnacentral:tRNA from 1 species